rnacentral:rRNA from 1 species
UGAGGAAUUUUCCGCAAUGGGCGCAAGCCUGACGGAGCAAUACCGCGUGAGGGAUGAAUGCCUGUGGGUUGUAAACCUCUUUUCUUAGAGAAGAAACC